rnacentral:rRNA from 1 species
CUGUUUGGGUGAGGGGUCCAUCUCGGAUUACCAAUCUCAGAUAAACUCCGAAUGCCAACGAGAUAUCAUCGGCAGUCAGACUGCGAGUGCUAAGAUCCGUAGUCGAAAGGGAAACAGCCCAGACCACCAGCUAAGGUCCCAAAAUAACUGUUAAGUGGAAAAGGAUGUGGGGUUGCACAGACAACUAGGAUGUUAGCUUAGAAGCAGCUAUUCAUUCAAAGAGUGCGUAAUAGCUCACUAGUCGAGUGACACUGCGCCGAAAAUGUACCGGGGCUAAAACAGUUUACCGAAGCUGUGGAUGACACAAAAGUGUCAUGGUAGGAGAGCGUUCUAUGUGUGAAGAAGGUGUACCGUGAGGAGCGCUGGAACGCAUAGAAGUGAGAAUGCCGGUAUGAGUAGCGAAAGACAGGUGAGAAUCCUGUCCACCGUAAGACUAAGGUUUCCAGGGGAAGGCUCGUCCGCCCUGGGUUAGUC